ACUUGUUUUGAACCUCUUAUACGAGGUCUACAAUAGAAGUCGUAGUGGUCGUAGGGUUUUAAGUCGUAGAAAAUUGACCAAUCAUAGU